CAUGCAAGAAACGGAUUGUCUGUCACGAUUCUCCAGCGACUGGACAUCUCAACGCUUGCAGAGAUCAUCUGCGGUGGCUGGUACUUGGUUUGGUCUACUUAUUGGGGCUGGACUUUUGUGUCAGUUAUCCUCAUGG
rnacentral:snoRNA from 1 species